AACACGAGUAUAAAAGAACACGAGUAGAGACGAUAAAAGAACACGAGUAGAGACGAUAAAAGAACACGAGUAGAGGAUAAAAGAACACGAGUAGAGGAUAAAAGAACACGAGUAGAGGAUAAAAGAACACGAGUAGAGGAUAAAAGAACACGAGUAGAGGAUAAAAGAACACGAGUAGAGGAUAAAAGAACACGAGUAGAGGAUAAAAGAACACGAGUAGAGACGAUAAAAGAACACGAGUAGAGGAUAAAAGAACACGAGUAGAGGAUAAAAGAACACGAGUAGAGGAUAAAAGAACACGAGUAGAG
ensembl:lncRNA